rnacentral:rRNA from 1 species
AUGAACGCUGGCGGCGUGCCUAAUACAUGCAAGUCGAGCGAACGGACGAGAAGCUUGCUUCUCUGAUGUUAGCGGCGGACGGGUGAGUAACACGUGGAUAACCUACCUAUAAGACUGGGAUAACUUCGGGAAACCGGAGCUAAUACCGGAUAAUAUUUUGAACCGCAUGGUUCAAAAGUGAAAGACGGUCUUGCUGUCACUUAUAGAUGGAUCCGCGCUGCAUUAGCUAGUUGGUAAGGUAACGGCUUACCAAGGCAACGAUGCAUAGCCGGCCUGAGAGGGUGAUCGGCCACACUGGAACUGAGACACGGUCCAGACUCCUACGGGAGGCAGCAGUAGGGAAUCUUCCGCAAUGGGCGAAAGCCUGACGGAGCAACGCCGCGUGAGUGAUGAAGGUCUUCGGAUCGUAAAACUCUGUUAGUAGGGAAGAACAUAUGUGUAAGUAACUGUGCACAUCUUGACGGUACCUAAUCAGAAAGCCACGGCUAACUACGUG